rnacentral:rRNA from 1 species
UACGUAGGGGGCAAGCGUUGUCCGGAAUCAUUGGGCGUAAAGCGCGUGUAGGCGGUUCGGUAAGUCCGCUGUGAAAGUCCAGGGCUCAACCCUGGGAUGCCGGUGGAUACUGUCGGGCUAGAGUACGGAAGAGGAGAAUGGAAUUCCCGGUGUAGCGGUGAAAUGCGUAGAUAUCGGGAAGAACACCAGUGGCGAAGGCGCUCUACUGGGCCACAACCGACGCUGAGGGACGAAAGCUAGGGGAGCGAAAGGG